UCUCUGCCCUCCACAGACCUCCGUGCUGCC
rnacentral:piRNA from 1 species